UUUCGCCUACGGGACGCAGCAGUGGGGGAUAUUGCACAAUGGGGGGAACCCUGAUGCAGCGACGCCGCGUGGGUGAAGAAGCGCCUCGGCGCGUAAAGCCCUGUCAGCAGGGAAGAAAAUGACGGUACCUGAAGAAGAAGCCCCGGCUAACUACGUGCCAGCAGCCGCGGUAAUACGUAGGGGGCAAGCGUUAUCCGGAUUUACUGGGUGUAAAGGGGGCGCAGACGGCGAUGCAAGCCAGGAGUGAAAGCCCGGGGCCCACCCCCGGGACUGCUCUUGGAACUGCGUGGCUGGAGGGC
rnacentral:rRNA from 1 species